GUGCAGCGGCUGUCCCCGCCCUGAAAACCGAGUUUGGUGUCGAGCCACUCUGGAAUACAUGGAGGCGCCGGAGGACCAGUGGAAGGUGUCAUCCAGAUGACAGCCUCACAAUUCGCAGCCUUUGUGCUCUCCAUCAGAAACCCAUCGGGGGCAAGCCACUUAUGUUUGCCUUCAGACAAGACAACAUUGAAGCAGGAUUCGAGCACAGCCAUCUCCUGCACUUAUGGUCAAGAUGCUCAGACAAUGGAGUCCCUGUUCCUUGUGGUUAACCGUGAACAGUAUUCUCGCUUUUAUGAAAGCUAAAGGUGAUUUCCUGCAUAAAUUAGGAUUUUGCAGCUCAAAUGUAUACACUUUAUUCUAAUUUGAAGCAACUAAUAUAUGCUGUUUAAUUCUUUUAUACUGUUUGAUACAAUCAUUUCUUGUUGGAAAAUAUUAAGCAUGAUGUUUAACAUUUAUUUAUGCAUUACUGGCUGAUGCAUGAUGGCCUGUGUUUAAAAAAUGUGAACUCACAUUUGAAGCUUCAUUCAAUAACCAGAGUAUGGCUGAUUUAAUAAACAUUAUUUGCUCAUUUAUGUACAAGCCCUAAUCUUCCAUUAUCGCACCAAGUACAAAUAAUUUAGAAAUUGGCAAUGUAUCAUCCGCAUGUGGCCAGUAG